GCCUUUCUAGUGUAGUGGUUAUCACAUCAGCACAUUUCGGCUGAAGACAGAGCGUUCGAUUCCUCUGGAGGGCA